UACGUAGGGUGCAAGCGUUGUCCGGAAUUAUUGGGCGUAAAGAGCUCGUAGGCGGUCUGUCGCGUCUGCUGUGAAAACCUAGGGCUUAACUCUGGGCGUGCAGUGGGUACGGGCAGGCUAGAGUGCGGUAGGGGAGACUGGAAUUCCUGGUGUAGCGGUGAAAUGCGCAGAUAUCAGGAGGAACACCGGUGGCGAAGGCGGGUCUCUGGGCCGAUACUGACGCUGAGGAGCGAAAGCGUGGGGAGCGAACAGG
rnacentral:rRNA from 1 species